rnacentral:rRNA from 1 species
GACGAACGCUGGCGGCGUGCCUAAUACAUGCAAGUAGAACGCUGAAGGAGGAGCUUGCUUCUCUGGAUGAGUUGCGAACGGGUGAGUAACGCGUAGGUAACCUGCCUGGUAGCGGGGGAUAACUAUUGGAAACGAUAGCUAAUACCGCAUAAGAGUAGAUGUUGCAUGACAUUUGCUUAAAAGGUGCAAUUGCAUCACUACCAGAUGGACCUGCGUUGUAUUAGCUAGUUGGUGGGGUAACGGCUCACCAAGGCGACGAUACAUAGCCGACCUGAGAGGGUGAUCGGCCACACUGGGACUGAGACACGGCCCAGACUCCUACGGGAGGCAGCAGUAGGGAAGCUUCGGCAAUGGACGGAAGUCUGACCGAGCAACGCCGCGUGAGUGAAGAAGGUUUUCGGAUCGUAAAGCUCUGUUGUAAGAGAAGAACGAGUGUGAGAGUGGAAAGUUCACACUGUGACGGUAUCUUACCAGAAAGGGACGGCUAACUACGUG